rnacentral:rRNA from 1 species
AUUGAACGCUGGCGGCAGGCUUAACACAUGCAAGUCGAGCGGAGAUGAGGUGCUUGCACCUUAUCUUAGCGGCGGACGGGUGAGUAAUGCUUAGGAAUCUGCCUAUUAGUGGGGGACAACAUUCCGAAAGGAAUGCUGAUACCGCAUACGCCCUACGGGGGAAAGCAGGGGAUCUUCGGACCUUGCGCUAAUAGAUGAGCCCAAGUCGGAUUAGCUAGUUGGUGGGGUAAAGGCCUACCAAGGCGACGAUCUGUAGCGGGUCUGAGAGGAUGAUCCGCCACACUGGGACUGAGACACGGCCCAGACUCCUACGGGAGGCAGCAGUGGGGAAUAUUGGACAAUGGGCGGAAGCCUGAUCCAGCCAUGCCGCGUGUGUGAAGAAGGCCUUUUGGUUAUAAAGCACUUUAAGCGAGGAGGAGGCUACCUGGAUUAAUACUCUAGGAUAGUGGACGUUACUCGCAGAAUAAGCACCGGCUAACUCUGUGCCAGCCGCCGCCGUAAGAC